rfam:Olsenella sp. oral taxon 809 str. F0356 genomic scaffold supercont1.1, whole genome shotgun sequence.
GGGGGUGACUGGUUUCGACAGGGUAGUUCUGAGGUGGGCAGCAAGCCGUGGUCUCCUCGCCACGUUAAACAGGGGUACCGUCAAAUUGAAUUGACGACAACUCUUAUCAGGGCUCUUACGCCCUCGCUGCUUAAUUUACUAGCAGCCGUCUAACCGGGGAUCGCUCCCGUCUUCGGGGUGACGUCAUUCUAGGGAGAUGCUCCUGCGGACGUGGUUGGUAUGCCGCAGGCUAAGACCGAACCAACUGGGAUGCCGAACGCGUGUCGUUGGGUGCGAGGCGUCCGAGAGCCAACUAACGACUGAGCUUGGAGACACCUGCCAGGGGAUUGCUUUGGACCGGAGUUCGAUUCUCCGCACCUCCACCA